CCGGGGGCUCUCGGGCGGCGGGCAGGGGAAGGCGAGGGUCGGGCCUUCCUGAGCGCGGCUGCCGCGGCUCCAGCACCCGGCGGGCGGGCAGCUUCUCCUCGGCCUCCAGCCCCGGCCCCGCCGCCUCCGGGCUGCGGGCGAGCUCCCCCGGCGGCGGCGGCGGCUCGGCCUGAGGAGAGGACUGCUGGCCGUCGGCCUCGCCGUCAGGCACCGAGGCUUCAGUGGCCGUGACCGGGAGGGGAUCCGUGCCGGCCUCGCUGCGGGGACGGGCUCCAUCUCCGGCUCAGCCUCCCCGGGGGACGCAGCAGGCGCUGCCGCCAUUUCUUCCUGGCUUCUUCCUCCUCCUGGUCCUCUCCUACUUUACUUUAUAGGCCACUGUUAAGAUUACUGAACAAGACAAAUUUGUUUCAGGUAUAGCGAGUGAACCAAAACAGGAUGGUGCUGGGAUCGCAGAUGGGGGUCGCCUCGCUGCUGUGAAGAAGGCAGUGAGAGAGAGGAUGCAGCAGGGAGAGCAGGCUGAGGGCCGAAGGAAGUUGGUCAUAUAACCUUUGACGCUGGAUAUUUUAGAAUCGAAAGUCCCGUUAAAUCGUUCUCAGUCACGCCCAGGGUGCAGUGAUCCCUUCAUGCAGGUGGAGGAGAGGUGACAGGAGCACACCAGACACUCUUCCUUUGGUGGGGGCUUAAUUGCCUUUUCACCUC